rnacentral:miRNA from 1 species
CCCAUGGAUGCGAUGGAUCCAUUGGAUGCGAUGGAUCCAUUGGAUCCAUCGGAUCCAUCGGAUCCUUUGGAUCCAUCGCAUCCAUUGGAUCCAUCGCAUCCAUUGGAU